UUAACGCCCCACUGAAGGAUGGCCUUUUCUGUUGGUGAUCCAGAAAUCUCCAGAGCUUUACUAUCCUGUUAAAGACCAGCCACAACAAUUUUCAAUUGUUUCAGCAUUAUAAUGGUCUAAAACUAAUCAGAUAUUAAAAUUACUUUGUGUCAAGGUGCUUGAAUUUUCAAUGCAACUAGAAUGCUUGACAAGAUUCUUAUACUGCAUAUGCAGCCAAUGUUCAGAUCUUCCUUUCCAUUUUCCCACAAUUACUAAAUAUUAGAAGUAACAUUUCAUACAAUACCAGCAUAAAUUCAAUCAGCU
rnacentral:lncRNA from 1 species